rnacentral:tRNA from 1 species
ACCUGGCUGGCCCAGUCAGUAGAGCAUGUGACUGUUGAUCUCAGGGUUGUAAGUUCAAGUCCCAUGAUGGGUG